rnacentral:rRNA from 1 species
GCAAUGGGCGAAAGCCUGACGGAGCAACGCCGCGUGGGGGACGAAGGCCUUCCGGGUCGUAAACCCCUGUCAUGGGGAAAGAAGGGGCGUCGGGGUGAACAGCCCCGGCGUCUGACGGUACCCCAAGAGGAAGCCACGGCCAACUCCGUGCCAGCAGCCGCGGUAAUACGGAGGUGGCAAGCGUUGUUCGGAAUUACUGGGCGUAAAGGGCGCGUAGGCGGGGGAGGUAAGUCGGGUGUGAAAUCCCUCGGCCCAACCGAGGAACGGCGCCCGAGACUGCUUCUCUUGGAGUCCCGGAGAGGAAGAUGGAAUUCCCGGUGUAGCGGUGAAAUGUGUAGAGAUCGGGAGGAACACCGGUGGCGAAGGCGGUCUUCUGGACGGUGACUGACGCUGAGGCGCGAAAGCGUGGGGAGCAAACGGGAUUAGAUACCCCGGUAGUCCACGCGGUAAACGAUGGGUGCUAGGUGUGGGGGGUAUCGACCCCCCCCGUGCCGAAGCUAACGCAUUAAGCACCCCGCCUGGGGAGUACGGCCGCAAGGUUG